GAUUUGCAGACACUGAGACUUGCGAUAUAUAUGUAUGGCUUGAGUUAGAUAUUUGGUGUAUUUUUCGCUCGCGAAACCCAUUUUUUUUUCCACUACUCACAAGACAAGAUGCAAAGAAGCUUUAGUUUUAGUUAGUCAGAUAUGGAUAAUAAUGCAUUGCAGUGUUUGUUGAUUUUAGGGAGGAUGUUAGCAUUAGCUAGCUUAGCACGCUAGCCAUAACCUUUGCGCUACUUGGAUUGGAAGGCCUUCUCGCGGUUAAUAGGCGCUUAUUAAUAUGGUUUGCUUGCUGCUAAAAGUAUCGGUUGGAUUAUAUUGGCACAAAACGACAAGGCUAACAACGUUAGCACCUGAACAAGCAGCGAAGUGUUUUGUUCGCUACAGCAGACAGAGCUAAUAAUUAGAGCGUCUGCGUUUUAUGUGUCUUUGUGGAAAAGGUUGGACCUCCUGCUUGUAUUUGGAGUCAGUCAGGGCUGUUCUGCUUGUGUGGCUGUUUUUGUUUAUUUACAUCAGUUAUAUACACGGAAGUGGUAUUUAUGUGUCGAUAAUUCUGCACACGAGAGAGAGAGAGAGAGAGAGAGAGUAUAGAUUACACACCCCUACAAGCACACUAUGGCCAAAAGUUUGUGGACACCUGAUCACCACACCCAUAUGUUGUAGUUCUUCAAAUUGUUGUCCCAAAAAUUGGAAGGACACAGUUGUAUAAAAUGUCUACUUUGAAGAAUCUAAAAUAUGAUUAUUUUUUUAAACACUUCUUGUUCAUGACAUGUUUCAGAGUUUUAGUGUCUUCAGUAUUAUUCUGCAGUGUAGAAAAUUGUCAAAAUACAAAAAAAAAAAAAACCUCUGAAUGAGUAGGGGUGUACAAACUUUUCACUCCUAUGGUGUAUAUACUACAAAUCACUGAUGGUGUAUAAAUCACUUCAGGAUUUUAUUUAACACUUUAAAAAUCUAACUCUUCCCUUUGUUCAUUACAUGUACGGUAUCUUGUAUUCACCGUCUAUGCAUUAUUGUCUUUGUUGAUUGUCUUGUUAUAUUUUACAGCCUUUGUGUUGGUAUAAAAAAAAAAAAAAUCCCUUCAUUGGACCUAAGAGGCCUGUUGCAGCAUGGUGGGGCCAAAGGUGCCCUGUGCCCAAAAAUUGGUGUUGAAGAACCAGGGUUGGGAACUGAAACUCCGUUCCAAACUAGAAGGGAACUCUGUAGAGUUCAUACCUUCACCAAGCCACAUCUUAGCAACAUUAAAAUAAACCUUGGAUGCUGCUAAAGCUGUACACCAAAUUUUGUCAAAAUCUGUUCACUACUUUUUGAGUUACAUUGCGAACAGACUAAUAAACAAACUAACAGAGGCGAAAACAUAACCUCGUACAACAAAGUUGGCAUGAAACCGAAUUCAAAAUACCAAGUACCAGGUACCCCAUAAUACCCCUUUAUUAUUGCGCACAAAAUCUACAUACGUAUACAUAACUAUCUGCCAGGACCUGUCUCUGUGACAUCACACGUCAGUGCAACAGCAUGUCCAUUGCUGUGUCUCAGUUCACGUACCUCUGUUAGUACACUUCCACAUAGUACACUGUGCAUGCUACUUGUGUACUGCAUGAAUUUUGACAAUGUAGUGUUGUCUCAAAUCGAACAUGGCAAGUUGUGCACUUACCAGAAAUGUGGAUUGCAACAUGUGACCGUGAUUGUUGCAUGACCUGCUAAAAUAUCUGCUGGCUUUUGUGCUCACCUCUUAAAAAUGAAGGCGCUUUUCAUUUUCUUCAUUUGUGUGCAUAGAUAUUUCAUGCAGUGUGGAAAAUUGACAUGCUGUCCUCCAACUGGCUGAAAAUAGGUUGGUGGUCCUUUCGCUUUGGCUAUGUAGCCAAGAUGGUGACCAUUGAGGGUGAGAAGCGUACAGUAUUGCACACUGAAUAUUUAGACUGCUUUGAGUACACCAUCUGGAUACUCCUAGUGCACUGCAUGUUGAGAGGCAUGAACCCACUUAUGCAAGAUAAAUAGUAAGUGUAAUUACGGAAAAACAUGAAUCUUGACAUGGUAUUUGUUUACCAAUUUGGAACCGAAACGGGGAAUCAAUAAGCAGAAUCAGUAUCGAUAAGAUUCAAAAGAUACCCAAGCCUAAGAAGAACUCAAGUGGCCUACACAGAGCCCUGACCUCAACCCCACUGAGCACCUUUGGGAUAAACUGGCAUGUCGACUUCACCCCAGGCCUCCUCGCCCAACAUCAGUACCUGAUCUCACUAACGCCCUUGUUCAUUGAUGAAUGAGCACAAAUUCCCACAGCCACACUUCAAAAUCUAAUAGGAAGCCUUCCCAGCAGAGUGGAUUAUUAUAACAGCAAAGCGGGAAUGAAUCUGGAAUGGGGCGCUCAACAAGGACAUACAAGUGUGUUGUGUGUCCACAAACUUUUGCCCAUAUCAUGCGUCUGCAGUCCACUUGGUUUUUGGGUGGAAAUUUUUUUUUACAAUUCAUCUGCUAAGUAGAACAAGCAUUAAUUCACUAAAGUGAAGUUUUGCUUUUGAAACUUCAGUGAGGUUUACAUUGGACGAGUUUGGUCGUGAGUUGUAUCGUAACGUGACAUGCUCACUGGUGACAGCUUUAGUGCCAUUGCAACCAAAGAUGGCUGAUGACAAAGUUCUGGAAGUUUCAGAGUAUUUUAUAAUGAAAAUCUCGCUGUGACUACUUCCAUGACGCUCCAUUAAAAGCUAUCAACAAGAGGAUGGCAUAAGAGUGUGUAAAACUCACAGGACAGCUAUGAAUACAGUCGUGGUGGUGGUGAACAAAACAUGCUAAUAAACAGAAAAAAAAAUCCUUAUUACCUGAAGCUUACUUGGAAAAGUGUUUUUUUUUCCUGUGCGAGCCCAGAAUACAUUGAUUGAUGAUGUAAGCAAAGUGGAGUCAUUUUCUUUUAAUCAGAGAUCUAUCGUAAGCUGAUCUUCAUUGUAUAAUCUGACAUAGUGUACAUUAGUGGGUAUUUGUUAUAGUAUUCGGUCAAGAUUUUUUUGGGAUUCUCUCAUACGCUGUGCCGAGAAAUAAUCUGAAUUAAGCCAGCAUUAUAUUUAUUCGCAAGUUCAAAAGGUUCACCCACAUUGCCAAGAUCACUUAGUUAAUUUGUUUCAGUCAACAAAAGUUGACUUUAAGAAUUUUUUUUCAGGUGUAAAAGUGCGCUCAAAUUAAAAGUUAACAGGAUUAUGAAAACAGAUUUCACAAAACUUUUUCAGAAUGGCUUAAAAGGAUAUCAAAGUUCCUCCAGGUUCUCCGGUUUCCUCCCACCUCCCAAAACAUGCCAGUAUGUGGAUUAGCUACACAAAAUUGCUCCUAGGUGUGAAUGUGUGUGAGGAUGUGUGUUUGUGCAUGGUGAUAAACUGGUGUCCCACCCAGGAUGUGUUCUUGGGUUGCACCCAUUGUUCCCAGUAUAGUAUCCGGAUUCACCAUGAUCCUGAUCAGGAUUAACCGGUUACUGAAGUGGAUUGAUCUUAUAAGCAACAGUGAAAAUUACAGUUCAGAAAUGGAAGAAGUCCAGAGACAAAUAUGUGACCUGAUAGAGUUCAGAACAGGGAGUGUAUGUAAUAUAAUUUCGAAUUUUGUUUCACUAGUAAUAUUAUAAUAAACUAUUUUUGACAGGUUUGUUAUUCAUGAUGUAAAAGGGAGAUUUACAGGGCCAGACAAAAGUUUGUACACCCUUGCUCAUUCAUAGGUUUUUCUGUAUUUUGUAUUUUCUACAUUGUAGAACAAUCCUGAAGAUAUCAAAACUAUGAAAUAACAUGUAUGGAAUUGUGUGGUAAACAAAAAGUGUCAAAAAUAAUCCAAAAUAUGUUUAAUGUUUGAGAUUCUUAGGAAAGUCGCUACCGUUGACCUUGAUGACGCUUUGCACACUAUUGGCAUUAUCUUAACCAGCUUCAUGAGAAGCAAGUUUCCACAGACGGUUUCACUCAGCUGUAAAACAAAUUCAGCUUCUUAUUGGAACACAAGCAGCAGAGAACUGCAACGACGAGACUGUAACUUUGAAAGGAGGGGCAUGCUGAAACCCAAACAGCAGGUGUUUAGCAGAUGCUGUCAUCCAGCGCAACGUACAACAGGACCCUGACAUACCCACAGCAGUGGGCAGCCCAGGGAGCAGUUGGCUUGCUCAAGGGCACUUCAGCCAUUCCUGCUGGCUCAGGGAAUCGUGGCUUCUUCAUGUUAUGGGAGUGGAACCCAAUGUGGUCUUCUGCUGUUGCAUGCUGAGAUGCUUUUCUGCUCACCAUGGUUGUAAAAAGUUACUGUUGUAUCCUUCCUGGCAGCUCGAACCAAUCUGGCCAUUUUCCUCUGACCUCUCUUAACACGGCAUUUGUUUCCACCCACAGACCUGUUGCUCACUCAUUAAGGUUCUACUUUGUGUCCACUCCAAUGCUACAUACUUGUCCUCUUCCAGCUAAUUAAAAACUAACUAACUAACUAACUAACUAACUAACUAACUAACUAACUAACUAACUAACUAACCAACCAACCAACCAACCAACCAACCAACCAACCAAGUAGAGAAUCUACAGCUAAGACAUCAUCUUGAUAUUAAUAUGACAUCAGAGUGUCUGUUUAACUCCAAUGCCCCCCCCAUGCAAUAAGAAAAACACCACAAUCACACAAUUACUAAAACAGCAUUUGGGAACCAAAACAUUCAGGCUUUGUAUUUAUUUGUCUGUAACUAAACCAUGACAAAAUCAUUUCUACCACUGUUUGUAACUGACUGUGAUCGAAAUCACAUCCAUGAUUACAUUGCUUAUUUGAGUUCCUAUGCAAUGACGUGUAUACUUCUCCUUUAUGCUCAUUUUCUCCUCCAGGAGCGUCACCAUCCAAGUGUUUGAGGAAGUAACAGAGAAACAGGAAACUGUGCAGGACUUUGAUAUUGGCCUUUAUUGUCAGAGAGAGCAUUGAAUUCCACAUUCUCAUGUCCAAUCUUACAGUUUUUAAGGAAAUAAAAUGAAUCAUUUUUGAA